UGCAGCCCACGCACCUCAACUAUGGUGAAUUAUGGUGAAAUAUGAGAGACAUGGAAAGAGCCGGCAGCUCAAAAACAGUUGGUCGUGAUGAGAUGACACAUCCGCCGGACAGAUUAGUCAAAUAAAGCCAGAAGGACAGAUAUGAAGGAAUGGACUCACGACCUCAAGGCACCUUUUAAGAGGAGACAAACUGGAUAAAAAUACACGCGCACCAAGAGAAACCAGGAGCCGGAGCUUCGGGUGAUUUAUGGCCGGCAGAGAGGAGCUGCUUGACCGCGGGGGCUGACUUCUGGUCGGACACUUCUGUUGGGCCCGUUACCACCAGAGGACACACUGUCAACAAGCUUUACAAGCACAUAGCCUAGUUCUUUGCAGGCAGAUCUGCCUGUAUCUGAGCCCACAAGCGCGUGGAGCCUUUAUUUCUUCGUGGCCGGACGUGGCCC